UUGUCUUCUAAAUAGAGACCCGUAUGAACGGUAAAACGAGGGCUUAACUGUCUCCUUUUUCAUGUCAAUGAAAUUGAUCUUCCCGUGCAGAAGCGGGAAUCUCCCCAUAAGACGAGAAGACCCUAUGGAGCUUUAGACACCUAGACAGACCACGUCAAAACCCCCUAAUAAAGGACUGAACUAACUGAGCCCUGUCCUAGUGUCUUUGGUUGGGGCGACCACGGGGAACUACACAACCCCCGCGUGGAAUGGAAGCAUUUUGCUGCCACAACUAAGAGCUCCCGCUCUAAUAAACAGAAUUUCUGACCAAUACAGAUCCGGCAAAGCCGAUCAACGAACCUAGUUACCCUAGGGAUAACAGCGCUAUCCUCUUUCAGAGCCCCCAUCGACAAGAGGGUUUACGACCUCGAUGU
rnacentral:rRNA from 1 species